rnacentral:lncRNA from 1 species
UUUCUUUUCUGGCAAGAGAUACUUUGAAUUCUCUGAGGUCCUCUUCUUAAAGACAACCAUGUCCACCUGGUCACCAGGCUGAUCUUGGCAGUUGGUAUCCACGACGCUGUCAAAGGUGGCGAUGAUGUCAUUGACUUCCGAGGUGUCCUCCUCCUUAGGUCUGGCCCUGCUCUGCUCCUUCUGAUGGGCUUUCUGCUCCUCUUUCUUGUUUUUGCAGAAGAUUUGGUUGAGCACGCUGAAUCGUCCUUCCUUCUUUUGGGGUUGACUGUUCUGAGAGGGGAGAGGCCUAGCAGGCUCUGCUCUAGAGAGACAGGAAAGAACAAGAAUGCCAGGCGAGGCCAGGAAAUGGGGGGAAAGAACGAUAUGACACCCCCAAGCCCAUCCACCUGCUUCAUCAGCUAGUCUAGGCU